UACGUAGGGUGCGAGCGUUGUCCGGAAUUAUUGGGCGUAAAGGGCUCGUAGGCGGUCUGUCGCGUCGGGAGUGAAAACUCAGGGCUUAACCCUGAGCCUGCUUCCGAUACGGGCAGACUAGAGGUAUGCAGGGGAGAACGGAAUUCCUGGUGUAGCGGUGGAAUGCGCAGAUAUCAGGAGGAACACCGGUGGCGAAGGCGGUUCUCUGGGCCGUAACUGACGCUGAGGAGCGAAAGCGUGGGGAGCGAACAGG
rnacentral:rRNA from 1 species